rnacentral:rRNA from 1 species
AUUGAACGCUGGCGGCAGGCCUAACACAUGCAAGUCGAGCGAGCGGCGGACGGGUGAGUAAUGUCUGGGAAACUGCCUGAUGGAGGGGGAUAACUACUGGAAACGGUAGCUAAUACCGCAUACCAUCGGAUGUGCCCAGAUGGGAUUAGCUAGUAGGUGGGGUAACGGCUCACCUAGGCGACGAGCCCUAGCUGGUCUGAGAGGGUGACCAGCCAAACGGGACCUGAGACACGGUCCAGACUCCUACGGGAGGCAGCAGUGGGGAAUAUUGCACAAUGGGCACAAGCCUGCUGCAGCCAUGCCGCGUGUAUGAAGAAGGCCUUCGGGUUGUAAAGUACUUUCAGCGGGGAGGCGUUACCCGCAGAAGAAGCACCGGCUAACUCCGUGCCAGCAGCCGCGGUAAUAC